UAUUCUCGUUUUUUACUCUCUCUCUCUCUAGUUUUUUCAGACAUACUCUCGGCUCAGAGAACCGAAACCCUCGAUACCAAAACCUUUCUCUAUGAAUCAAAACCCUUCUCUCACAAUCAAAUCUAAAAGCUCUUUAGCUUUCCUAACCAAAUCAAAAUCUGAGUUUCAGUAAUCAAAACUUAGAAUCUCUAUUCUCGAGAACCUUAAAAAAUUCCUAAACCUAGAAUCCAAAAUCAAUUUUGUUCCGGAAAUCUGAAAUCAGUUCAUCUGAUAGUUGAUUAUCAUCAGUGCCAGGUGAUCUACUACAGCUGAGAACGGAACAGGGGAAGACGAGUACUAUGUCUGGCACGAGUUUUGUAGAGUAACAUUGUGGUUCUAAGGACUUGAAAGGUCGGGUAAUCUGUUCAGCUUUUGAUCAGCUGUUGUUGUAUAAGAUUGUAUGUUCAUAUUCUUACUGGCUUAUUAUUGGCUGCUUAUAACUUAGGUAUCGACGUAUCGUGCACGAAACCUGUUCAUCGCAGAGAGGGUUUGCUCUUGUUUGUGCUUCUAUUAUUCUGCACUUUCUGCCUCUCUCGUAUUGCCAGUAGUUUAGUUUGCUCUGAGUUUGCUUAUAAUUGAGUAAAAUUCUUGUGCAUUCAGUUUUCUUAGGAAUCAGUUUGCUGGUCAUUUCAUAAGAAUGAUUAUUUCUGUUUCGUUGUGAAUCAUAGGCUAGAAAUAGAGCAUCAAUCUUAUAAUCUAGCCUGUCUUCAUUAUUGUAGAAUGUCCCAAGCAGCAGUUCUUUGGGAUGCCCCUCAAGGAGAUAAUUAUUUCUUCUUAAAACAGCUACCACUGCCUACUUGGGUAAAAUGGAGCGAGGAUAUGGAGUUUCUCUUUUCUUUUUCAGAUAAGGGGUUUCCUUUGCACCAUUCAGUUACUUGUGGAGUAUUGAAGAGUUGCUGUUCAAUUUCAUGCUAACUGGCUGGUGUUCCCAUCUUAUUUGUUUUUGAAAGAAUGUUCACCUUGAAGGUCAGCCAAGGCCCAGGCAGGAUGAGGACAUCAUAAUGACCAGCACCAGAGCAGCAUUUUGAAUAUCAUGUCCAUAAAAUGGAAAGGUUAUUACUGAAGUACAAGAUCCUGUGAAGAGGGUAAUCAGUAUGAAAACUUGCAUAAAUCAUGCCAAUGAGUAUUGAAGCAACAUCCAACUACACUUGAUCAGUCAUUCCUAUCUGAUUUUAUUUCUGAAUCGAUUAUCGUAGUUGAUUAACUGCCUCAAACUACACUGAAUUUGCUCGAUGCUAUCAGAAUCUCAAGGACCAAGACGUGCUCAGUCGAUGAUGCGAUGCCCAGACAUUAUGGGAAGCAAUUGCAGGUCAUGUUUCCAUAUAAGGCUUCAACUUAAAUUUUAGACAAACAUUGUUUACGAUGAUAUUGAUUUUAAUGCUCUUCCUC